CCCAGUAAAUAGCCCAAAUAUAAAUACUGAAGAUUUCCAAUUACAAAGAAGGAAAACGAUUGGGGAAUGGCGAGUACGGUGGUGCUACAGGGAAUCCAAAUCCCGACGUCGGCGGUGUUGAUGCCGGAGCGAAAAUAUGGCGUUUCUCCGGUGGGAAAAGUUGGAUCCGAAUCCGGAAAAAUGCACCGGCAAAGGCCGUGAAGUCAAUCGUUGUGUCCUUAGCCUGCUGUACAAAAGAGAUGGAUGCUUAUGCUGGAUGCAUGUACUACAACACAAAUGAAUUCAAUAUGUGUCGAAAAGAACAAAAGGAAUUCGAAGAGGCAUGUCCUUGUUGACUGGUCCCCACAAAGGUUAUGUGCCCGGAUCUUUGUGAUACUCUCUCUUCUCUCCUUGUCCGAGACUUUCUGUGAAAAUUUGUGAGAUAGUUGUCUGUCAACUCAACGGAUCUUGUUCUACUUUAGUGACAACAUCAUUUGAGAUUUAUAUUUUUCUUUCAAAUCUAUUGUAAUAUAUUAGAGGUUUGUGCACGUGACAACCAGGUUUUGGGGUGUAUUUAAGUUGACUUUGUAUUCGGCUUUAAUACUGGUGUUAAACUUUCAUCCUUAUUUUUA